rnacentral:ncRNA from 1 species
AUAUCAGGUGCUUAUUUUAAGCUUAAUAGGGAAUCAGGUGUAAUCCUGAGCUACCCCAGUAACCGUGAAAUGGACGAAAUCUAUUAAUGCCACUGCUACAUGCGGGAAGGUUAGAGAGUAGGAUGAAGUUAAGCCGGGAGACCUGCCUUGUAUGGG